UACGGGGGGGGCAAGCGUUGUUCGGAAUUACUGGGCGUAAAGGGCUCGUAGGUGGCCAACUAAGUCAGACGUGAAAUCCCCAGGCUUAACCUGGGAACUGCGUCUGAUACUGGAAGGUUCGAGUUCGGGAGAGGAAUGUGGAAUUCCAGGUGUAGCGGUGAAAUGCGUAGAUAUCUGGAGGAACACCGGUGGCGAAGGCGGCAUUCUGGACCGAAACUGACGCUGAGGCGCGAAAGCCAGGGGAGCAAACGGG
rnacentral:rRNA from 1 species